rnacentral:lncRNA from 1 species
CCCAAUGCAGUCAACCCCUCUGUGAGCACAGAAGUAAUGAACAAAAGAUUCAUUUCAUGUGGGUGCUUCACACACUUUCUACUGACCUCAUGCAGCAACUUCAAAGGACUUCUCUGUUCAGAGUAAUUAUCUGCAAUUUGCAGAGUAGCACACAGUCUUCUCACAGAUUGUACACUUCCCUUCAGACCCCAAGCUGGCUGGAUGUGAACAUGACAACACUUCAUUUCUAGACCAGAAACAGCUUCCUGAUCCAGCCUACAAAAAAGGAAGGAAAAUAUUUUAAAUUAAAGUCUUUCCAAAGAGCUAUGUCCUUGGUGUUGGCAUGCUACUCACCGUGAUCCAAGAGCCCAGAAGCAGAACAGUGCUGUGGCUAUAGUCAAGAUGCUCUGAAGUCAAACAAACUCUAUGUGAAUUCUGUAUCUGCCACUUAUGAGCUGCAUGACAC